rnacentral:lncRNA from 1 species
AGUACUUCCCAAGCCACAGGACGGAGUGUGGGAGCGAAGCCCCUUCAUCAAAGCACCAGAAAGAUGUCAGCAGAAAAACAAACAGAUGGAACUUCGGACAGCCAAAUCCAGUGAGGUGUGAGCUAACCUCCCCACCCAGUCAUGUGCUUACACAUGGGAACAAAACCCAAGAGGGUGGCCAGCCUUCAGCCCAGUGCCCAGGGAUGAAACAUGGCCCAAGAAAUAACACCACCACCAUCAGCUGUCCAUGCUUCCACCUCAAGCACUGAGCAAGAUCCUCUGGCAAAUGACCUCACUGGGAGGUAAAGAGGAAAGCGCUAUUGUCAACUCCAUUCUUCAGUGGAAGACUCAGAGAUGGAUUUUGACUCUGGACUAGAAGAUGAUGACACAAAAAGUGAUAGUAUUUUGGAGGGUUCCACAAUGUUUAUGGCCUUCAAAGGAAAUACAGAGGAUAAAUGUGCCCAAUUUGUUACACAUGG